GAUUUAUUAGACUGAGAUAUGGAAUUUUCCCUUUUCGUGAAAUGAACAUUUAAAAAGAUGUUGUUUACUCAUAAAUUUCUUGCUAUAUUAGUCUAGAAUAUAGGGCAUUCGUUUCAACAACAAGAUGGCGGCACCGUUUACAGCGUUUGUUGUCUUGUGCCAGGUUUUGAUUCGAAUGUUAUCUGCUUUAGAUAAAAGAAGUA